CAACACAACCACGAGUUAGCAGCUAGCUUCAAAUGGCGAGGCCUUCCUACAGUCAUCACGAGUAACCAUGCCUGCUGCCUUAAGAGUUGUUAAAUCACUGAAUCCUCCAUCUGACCAGUCGGUUGAGUGUGUGUCUGCAGUUGAUUCACAUCAGCCCGAUCUUUAUCCCGAGCUCAAGAGUACUAAUGACAGACUUGAUGGUGAGGACGAGGGAACCAGGCACCAGAG